UUGAUCCUGGCUCAGGAUGAACGCUAGCGGCAGGCUUAACACAUGCAUGUCGAGGGGUAACGAUCCCGCUUCGGUGGGAGGCGACGACCGGCAAAUGGGUGAGUAAUACAUAUGCAACUUGCCCGUAGCUGGAGGAUAGCUUCCGGAAACGGAAAUUAAUACUCCAUAAUAUCCUAAUAUCGCAUGUUAUAAGGAUUAAAGUUUCGACGGCUACGGAUGGGCAUAUGUCCCAUUAGCUUGUUGGUGAGGUAACGGCUCACCAAGGCUACGAUGGGUAGGGGGCCUGAGAGGGUGAUCCCCCACACUGGUACUGAGACACGGACCAGACUCCUACGGGAGGCAGCAGUGAGGAAUAUUGGUCAAUGGGCGAAAGCCUGAACCAGCCAUGCCGCGUGCAGGAUGACUGUCCUAUGGAUUGUAAACUGCUUUUCUGCAGGAAGAAACGCUUCUACGUGCAGAGGUUUGACGGUACUGCAGGAAUAAGCAUCGGCUAACUCCGUGCCAGCAGACGCGGUAAUACGGAGGAUGCAAGCGUAAUCCGGAUUCAUUGGGUUUAAAGGGUGCGUAGGCGGAUUGGUAAGUCAAAGGUGAAAGUCUGUAGCUUAACUAUAGAAGUGCCUUUGAUACUGGUAGUCUUGAGUAC
rnacentral:rRNA from 1 species